rnacentral:lncRNA from 1 species
GGGGCAUGUCACUUGGUUUUUCUCAUCUAGCAGAUGAAAUUUUUGUGGUCUGCAUACCUGAUGACCCCCAGAACCACACGGGGGCUUCUAAAAAAUAUCGAUCCCGGGGUCUGGCUCUUGGAGGUUCUGCGUGAUCCUAGCACAGGGUCCAGGAAAGCGCACGAUGAACAAGGCCCCCAGCUGAUUCUGCACAGGCAGUCCUUGCACCAGGGGCCUUCGAAGGUCUUGCCAACUCUAACUUGAAGCGGUUUUGUCAAUACCUGUGAUAGCUUGUCUUACCUAGACCACGAAGAGCUAAUGUAUACUUGAUGACCCACCUUCAGGCUGGGGCUACAACAGAUGGAGUGUUGUCAUCUGCCUUAGACUGAACAGAACUCCCCAAACCAGGAACCACAGAGCCCAAAACUUUCCCACCGAUUAACUGCACCAGCUGUGGUUCAGACACCCUCUCCCAUCCUCAUUAGGAACAGGUCUAUGCCACACGAGCCGCUUUAUAAACACCACCCCCCACCACCUGGGAAUCCCGCGAUCCCUGCAAUUUGUUCCACACACAGUGGGGUGUGCGUGUGUGUGAUGUGUUUAGGAGCAGACAAGGUUUGCGGCUUGUCCAGCUUCAGCCCAAUAGAACUCAGGUCUCCCCCUCCAGCUGAUGGGGAGCAGGACUUUAGCGUACACAUCGUGUUCCUUUGAUUUCGUAGUGUAAUCGUUAACCUGUGCAGUGUUUAUUACAGUGUGUUUCAGGCCCAUCUGUGUCAGAAUCACCUGCGGAGCUUGUAAAAACAUGCACAAUGCACUGACGGUCCUGUUCUGCGGUCAGAGGCCAGUGAAUGGAGGCUAGUUUGAAGCUUAGCUUUCUGAUCAUUUUAACUAGGGCUCCUUCCAAACCAGAUGAACAGCCCUCGCUGACUACGGAACUUAUUGCUGCUGAAACUUGUUCGGUUUGGUCGAUCUGCCGUAUUCCUCAAACUUCAUCGUGCUUGUGAAUCUCUUGGGGGUCUUGUUAAAAUGAAGCUUCUAACUCGUUGGGUCUGGGGUGGGGCCUGAGACUCUGCACCUCUGACAGGCUUCCGUGUGAUGCUGACCGUGCCGGUCCAGGGACCGUACUUUGAGUAGCUCUGUUGAACAGGUAGAUGUCUGCCUCUGACUAGGGGGCCCUCCCUCCCGGCUGAAGGUUCAUCAGUAGAGCUAAGACCUGCCCGAGGCUGAAUUCCUCUUUUGUGGGUGAAGGAAGCCUGAGACCCCUGGGAGGGAGGCUAGCUCUGUCCCCACCCACCUGCACCUGUGAUGGAGGAAGGCAGCCAAUUACGUCCCGAGCCGAAAGGCCUAUUGAUCUGGUGCAGUGGGGACAGUAUCUGAUUGACACAGCUGGGGGGAGCCUCGGGAGAGUGGAGACCUCCUUUGCUUAGUUUAUUUUGUAAUUAAGGGGAAAAGAGCCCAAGCUAAAACGUUGCUUGAGGGUCCCGGCUUUUACGUUCAUGUCACUGAGCAGCCUAUGAAUCAAGUCACCGGCCGUGAAGCUGUCAGUCCUGACAGUGGUUCUCUUUCUCGGUGGCUUUAUGCAGAUACUUUCAGUUCUCCGAGUAUUAAGCGUAAUGGGGACGCCAGGCCCAGUCUGUCCUUCGAGAUGCGCUCCGUUGGCUAUGCCCUUGUGUCCGAGGAUGGAAGGCCUCCUGCUUCAUCUCCUCAGCCUGGGAAGCGGAGGUGGCAUCAGUUAUUUCAGAGGCCUGUUGGAAGGGAAGGGACUUGCAAGUUCUUGUACAUGUGAAGACUGUCAGUGGAGGGAAAAACCUGUGCGCUUUGUUGCAGCAGACCCGAGCUUGAGGAGACUUUCCAGAUGAACUUGGCUGGGGACCCCAGGCCUAGCAAAGCCUCCUCGUCACCCAGGGCUCAGCGUGAAUGCCUUGCCUCAGGGUCCCCUCUCAGAUGGCUCCGGAGGAAGGAAUCCGGGCCACGGCCUGUGCUCACAUGGCCCCUGUACCAUUCCUCUCUGUGUAGUGUUGGUGUGACCUCAGCUUGCAGAGGGGUGGGCCUGGGUCCGUUGUGGUUCCCAGGAGCGCCCAGCGUCGGGUGGGUGCUUGGUACAUCGUGAGCCCUCAAUACAUACUCGAAGGGAUGUGCGUGCUACAGGCAGGCAAAUGCUUUUUAUGAAAUUUAACGGGCAUUGCUCCAAAGAUAAAGGAAGAGGAAACUUUAAAAAAUUAUUGAGUUGAUUCAUAAAGAACUUUCUGCUCUUACUAGCAGAACAAGCUAUCAAGGACAAAAUGACAAUCUUAUAUAUUUAUUUCAAUUCUCUUGAUGGAUAGGGUUCCAGACUUUGUAGACACAUUGUCCUCACAUCCACUAAGUUAAUCAUAUGCAUGUGACCAAGACUGCUAGAUAGUUCUCUAAUAACAUUCUCUCCUUAUCCCUUAGCAAUAGGAUGUCUAGUUUUUAGCUGGACAGUUGGCCACCUAGAAUUAAAAGGCUACAUUUCCCAGUCUCCCUUGCAGCUAGGCAUGGUCAUGUGAUAGAUGUAAAUGGAGCCAUGUGCCAUUUCCAGGAACCAUCAUAUUAUUAUCUUUCUACAUUUUGCUGAUGGAGCAUGGAUGUGAUGACUGGAGUUCAGCAGCCAUCUUGGGCAGUGAGGAGGGUAGAGCAGCAAGGUAGGGGGACCCCGAGUACUUUUCCGAAGCUGCCCUACCAGUCCUGUACUGCUCACCUCUGGACUUCAUUUGUGUGAGGUAAGCCACUGUUAUUUUGGAUUUGAUAUCUCAGCUGAACUGAAUCCUACCUAUUUUAGGAAUAGGAGAAUUGUAAUUCUUAGGACCUUUUUAAGGCCAGUCUUGGAGAACAUGCUGUGGUUCAAGUUAUAGGUGAAGGUGUGUUUGUGACAAGGUUUUGGAUAAAGUAAUUGAGUGUGAGAGUUAAGAGGAUGGACUUGGAAGUGGGCUGGCUCUUAGUUGCCAUGAGUCCUUGGACAAUCUCCUUAAGCUCUUUAAGCUUCCAUCCCUGUCUAUAAAAUGAGGAUGACAACGUAGUGCCUGAUUCCUGCUGUUCCUCUCCUUGCUGCUCUGAGUUAUCGAACCUCCACAUGGCUGAUUCUCUAAGGGCCUUAUGAUAUACUGGAGCCUUCUCUAAGUCAGCUUUCUGUCCAAAGCAAUUUCAGUAAAAUUUCUCUUUUCUUUUAGAAAUCAACGAAAUCAAAUAACCCUACAAAUAUACCUAGUUAAAACGUAUAAACUUGUUAGUUCCUUUAUGUGGUUUUAAAGUCCAAUUACGGAGCAUUUGCUUUACCAUCUUAACGGCGAUUCAUUUAGCCUUCUUAAUUGGGCACCCACCAAGGACCAGGCGUUUUGCUAAGUCCUGGGAACAAAAUAAUGGUCACACGUAAUUGUGCCGUUACAGAAUUGAUAGCAAUUGUGUGCAUGCCUUUCUGUUUACAAAGCAGUUUUAUGAUGUGCCAAUAGUAUGCUCUUAGGGGACGGGAGCUUGCAGAUUGUGGUGCUGAGAUUCUAUUGCUCGGUCUCAUUUACAUGAGCAGAGCUAAGCUGAUUCAGAGUUAGCAGGGGCAUCAGGUGUGUAAUCCAGACAUUGACUGCUUCCUCCUCGGAGCUCUGGCGAAGCUUGAUCUGGACUCUUACUAUCUGCCCUAGAGUUCUAAAACCUGGACCUUCCUUUCUCCUGGCUUUCCUGUUUCCAUUUUCCAAGAGCGCCUCUUUGGUUUACAUGUGAGUUUGUUUAGUCUUUCCAGUUCAAUUGUAAGGAAUUUGAAAGCAGGAACUUGGAUGACUUCAAGGAUUUGCUCACAGUUCUCAGGCCAGUGUGGUACCUGCAGGCUCUCCAGAGCCGGAUGGCCCGUGGGGGCAGCGAGCGUCUCAGAGCUCGUGACUUCCCUCCCUGCCACGGAGACUGACACCUGCAGGUGUUUCUGUGAUCACGGGGACGCCUACUCCUGUGGAAACAAAAGCUCUGUGGAAUUUCACGCUCCAUCUCCAAGUACAGCGACAUUAGGGACAUGGCUUCAAAAUAUGAAUUUUGGGAGGAUACCAUUCAGCCCAUAACAACAGACAUAUUUACAGGAUCAUCUCUGUGUUUUCCGCACAUUGCUGACCAUCACAUCGUACCAGAUCAGUCUUUUUAUUAUGUGUCUGUCUGCUAAGUGAAAUAUUUUGUAUUAAUUUGUGUUUCUUAGAUAAUUAGCGAUUAUGCAUUAUUAUAUUCGUCUUUUGUGUUCUCCUGGAUUUGCCUGUUCACAUCUUUUAGCAUUUUCCUACAAGGUCAUUUGUUCUUUUUAUUGAUUUAGAAGCUUCUUUCCACUUUAAAGAAUGAAGCCUUUGUGGGUGACACAACUUGCCAGCAUUUCUCUUCAAGCUGGUUUUUACCUUUUAAUGUGAGUGCUUUUAUAGUUUCUUACCAUACUGACGCCUUUCUGUUUUCGAGAGGCAAUUUUAGUGUGUUUGUCAGAGAACGACUUUUCUCUGUCGUGAUUGGCGUUGUCCGUGUGUCUAACCGCCCCCUCCCUCAUCCUCUGUUGUGGGCUGAGUUGUGUCCCCCGCUGCGUGUUCCUGUGUUCAAGUCCUGCCCCCAGUCUCUCAGUGUGACUGUAUUUGGAGAUGGGCCCUUUAACGAGGUAAUUAGGGUAAAAUGAGGCCAUUAGGGUGGGUCCUAAUCCAAUAUGGCGGGUUCCUUACAAGAAGACGAGAUUAGGACACAGACAACACGGACCAAUGGGGGCCAGUGUGGGGACACAGGGGGAGGGGUGAGAGGGGAGCCACCUGCAAACGAGGGAGGGAGGCCUCAGGAGAAACCAACCCUGCCGACACUUGCAUCUUGGACUUCCAGCCUUCAGAGCCAUGAGAAAAUAAAUUUCUGUUGUGUAAGCCACCCCAUCUGUGGUAUUCAGUAUGGCAGUCUGAGCAGACUCAUACUCACCCCACCCCGAAAACUACCCCCUACUUUGGGGCAAGGACUCUUAUUCUCUCUCUCACCCUAACCACCUAGGAUGAAGUUUGACACAUAGUAGGCACCUAGAUACUUGCUAAAUGAAUGAAGAGGAUUUGAGUCCUUCUGUUUGGUGUGUGUGUGUGUGUGUGUGUGAGGAACAGUGGCCCUGAGCUUACAUCUGUUCCCAAUCUUCCUUUUUUUUUUUCCUCCCCAAAGCCCCAGUGCACAGUUGUAUCUCCUAGUCGUAUGUCCUUCUAGUUCUUCUGUGUGGAACACUGCCUCGGCAUGGCUUGAUGAACAGUGUUAGGUCCACACCUAGGAUCCAAACCACUGAACCCCGGGCCGCUGAAGCAGAGCAUGUGAACUUAACUGCUACGCCACUAGGCCUGCCCCCUUUUAUUUUGGCUUUAAUUUGAGAAUGUGUGCUAGGGUGUGCCUAAGUGAUUAUAUCAAAGAGGCCCAAACAGGAUAAAGUUUAUUUGUCUCUCAAGUAGCAAUCUCUAAGUAAGUCUCUAGGGCAAACAGCAAGGUUCCAUUGUAUUCAAUAUAAUCUUCCAUCUCUGAUUCAAAAUAGCUGCUCUUGCUCCUGCCAUCAUAUCUGCAUCCUAACUAGCAGGAAAAGGGAAAUGACUAGGGAAGUUUCAUUCAUUUUUUAAAAAUAUGGCUUGAGUUGGCAUACAUAAUUUCCUUUCAUAUUCUAUUGGUCACAAAAUCACAUGACCAAAUAAAACUGAAAGAGAGGCUGUGAAAUGUAAUUUUGGGACAUGUGACCAUAUGCUGAGCUAAAACUAUUAAAGGAAGGAGGGGAGAAUGGAAAUUGGACACUUAGCUACUCUACUGUAGGGAACAUAGAAAAAUACAUUUCAGGUGCAUAAAUGCUGCCUUUUAAAUAUUUUACUUUAAAAACCCAAAGAAAUAAUAAUAAAAGUUACUUUCCUGUGUGCCUUUAAAGCAUCAGAUUUGUAAUUAAGCCUGGUUCAAAUCCCAUAUUUACAAUUUACUUGCUAAGCCAACUUGGGCAACUUACAACCCUUCUGAGCCUGGGGUUCUGACCUGCACAGUGAGGACGCUCCCAGGGCUGCGGAAAGCCUGGUAAGAAAAUGCAGAGAGCCCGGCACCGUGCUCGGCACAGGGCAGGUGGUCAGUGAACGACAGCGUGAAAGGACAGGAGUGGUUCUCAUCCUGGCCACGCAUCACCUGGGGAUCUUUGAAGAAAACCAUGUGCCCAGCUCCAGACCAAGAAAAUGGAAAAUUUUUGUGGUGGAGGGAAGUUGAGUGGCAAUAGUAUUAAAAACAAAGCAAAAAAACACACACGCCCCCCUCUUCCCAGGUGAUGGUCUGGAGCUGGGUUGACAAGCCCUGCAGUGGAAGAUAAAGUGCAGCCCGGUCUACAGGGAGUGUAUGGAUGUGUGAAGAGAUGCAGAUCAACCACAAUUCAAAAGUGGUCAACUCUUCACCUAGGCUUCAAAUUUAAUGGAUCUCAGAAGUCUCCAAUGCUUCUGGUGACUUCUCUCCAGGACUGAGACCCCGUGAUUGAGUUCCACCAGGAAAAUCACUCUCUUCUGUCAAAUCUUAUCUCCAGAAGCUCCCAGUAAAAAUAUGCACAGAGUCUAUGCAGCUGCAGCAUGAACCAGUCUUGUUGUUUUCAGGAUCAGUUUCCAGGAGGAAAGCCUUAGACUCGUGACCUGGCCUAAGUGGCUCUUUUGAAAACGUUGGUGCCCUCAGUGAUCAUGGAUAGGCAGGUGUGACAUGUCUCUUCCUCUAGACCUCACCCAAGAUAAGAUGUGACCAGGAAAUUAAGCACAUAUUCAUAAGCAGGCACAAAAGUGGGUGGUCGUAAACCUAUUGCUGUAGGCCGGGUGAAGUUGGCUCCCUAGGAAGCUCCUGGCAUCAUUGGCUCAUUCUGAGGUCAAUGUCGUGAGUAUUCCAAGGGCAACGUCAGCCAAGCUUGUAGUUUGGUUGGGCAACAGAGCCCCCAAUAAGUGUGUUGGGGGAAGACACGGAAUCACGUGACUUUAGACUCUCAGAACUACCCAAAGCUGCUCGGCUGUCGCACCUGCCAGAUUCUUAUUUCUCAUUCAGGUAAAGGUGGAGACCCCGUAAAAAUGUUUCUAACCAACCACCCAAUUUGAACUCUACUCAUUUCUCCAAUGGUAAAUUAGUUCUAACAGCACAUAUCUUUCAUUGGUGCCCUGAGCGAUGUUUGAGAAAUAUGGAUUGGUUAGAAAUGUUAUGUAGGCAUUUCUACCUUGCAUGAAUAGGAUGUGACAGGGGUUGACAAACUUUUUCUGUAAAGGAUCAGAUAGUAAAUAUCUUAGGGCCAUACGGUCAAUGUUGCAACUGUUCAACUCUGCGCUGUUAGUGUGAGAGUUGCCGUGGACAAUACAUCAAUGGCUGGGUUCUAAUAACAUUUUAGUUGUUAGGUUGCCCACCUGUGGUGUAUAAGAAUCUAGCAAGCUCAGGAUGCUCUUCAGUCUGGAACACUCGGGGCCUAUGAUUCUCUGAUUCUCCCUGUGCACAGCCUUGAGCAGAGGACUCUGUCCUGUGAUCUCAGACAUCUAGAAGGGCAGCUGCUAGAAUACUGUCGAAUUUUCCUGGAGUGCAACUUCCAUACGAGGACAGAGAGCUGGGACCUCUCUGAGCAAACAAGGACAAGUUGUCGGACUACGGUGGUGGAUGGUGCUCUUAACGCACCGUGUGAUGGCGAGAAAAGGGUGGAGGAGGCCUGUAGCCUCUUUCCCUUGUAAUUAUCUGAGGCUGCCCCCAUUUGCCGAAAAGAACGCCAUGAUUGUUAGUGACCCAUCUGGCUUAAGUCAGUUUAUAGCUGUCACUCAAAUGAAAUUUCAGAACCAAGCUGACCUGGCCUACAACACGGCUCCCAUCUCAGCUUGAUGCUGGAAGCUGGCCUCUCUCCAUUCAUCCUAUAUGGAUUAAAUUUUUUUAAAAAAAUUAUACAUAUAUAUAUAUGUGUGUAUAUAUACUUAUUAUGUGUAUGUGUGUGUAUAUAUAUAUAAACAUAAAAUUUACCACUUAGUCAUUUUCUAUUUUUUAUUGUGGUAAAAUAUACACAACAUAAAAUUUACCAUCUUGCCUAUUUUUAAGUAUACAGUUCAGUAGUUUUAAGUAUAUUUACAUUGUUGUGCAACCACUUUCCAGAACUUUUUCAUCUUGCAAAACUGAAACUUUGUACCCAUUAACACUGACUCCUCCUUCCUCCCUCCCCCGCCCCUGCACCCACCAUUCUGCUUUCUGUCUCUGUGACUUUGAUGACUCUAGGAACCUCAGGUAAGUGGAAGCACACAGUAUUUGUCCUUUUGUGGCUGGCUGAUUUCACUGAGCAUCAUGUCCUCAAGGUUCAUCCACAUUGAGGCAUGUGUCAGAAUUUCCUUUCUUUUUCAUGGCUGAAUAAUAUUCUAUUGUAUGGCUAUACCACAUUUUGUUUAUCCAUUCAUCUGUCAAUGGUUAUUUGGUGGUUUCUGCCUUUUGUUGUGACUAAUGCUCCUGGGAAUAUUGGUAUACCAAUAUCUGUUGGGAGUCUCUGCUUUCAAUCCUUUUGUGUAUUUACCCAGAAGUUGAAUUGCUGGAUCACAUGGUAAUUCUAUGUUUAAAACUUUGAGGAACCACCAUACCAUCUCCCACAGCGGCUGCAUCAGUUUACAUUCCACCAGCGCAAGGGUUCCAAUUUCUCCACAUCCUCUCUAACGCUUAUUUUCUGUGUUAUUUUUUUAGUAAUAUGUGAAAUGGUAUCUCAUGUGGUUUUCAUUUGCAUUUCCCUAAUGACUAGUGAUGUUGAGCCUCUUUGCACAUGCUCAUUGGCCAUUUGUAUAUCUUCUUUGGAAAAAUGUCUAUUUUCAGUUCUUUGCCCAUUUUUUAGUUGAGUUGUUUGUCUUUUUGUUGUUGAGUUGCAGGAGUUCUCCUACGUGGGUUUUAAAUCUGUUUCCCAAAGUGUGUUCCCCGGAACACUGAUUCUGCAGGAUCUUAAUGGGCUUUUGAGUAAAAAGGUUUCUGAAAGCAAAUACUUAUGGUAUGCUAUGGGUCACAUAAAGCUUAAGCUGGUUUCUUUACUAUAAACCAGUUUAGAACAUUAAUAUACUAGCAGAUCUAGUAAAUCUCCGGGUGGGGAGAGUAUGAAAUAUUUCUCAAACUUAAUUGACCACAGAACCCUUUGGACGUAGGCCUUUUGCAGGACUAGGGUUUUGCAGAGCAGGAUGUUGGGGCUGCUGGUCUAGCUUAUUCAGCCUGUCAGUUGUUGUAAAUUUCCUCCUUUGACCUCAUGAUGAGAUUGUGUUCUCUCUUCUUACUGUCUGUUUACUUAUAGCUGAUGGCUUCUGCUCAGUAUCCUCUCCUCCCUUUUUCUCAUCCCUUCUAUCAAUGGACACCAAAUCUUGUUGAUUCUUCCUUCCUAAAGGUAUCUUGAAUCCAUCCCCUUUACUCUGUUUCCUAGUCCUCAGUAUCAGUUGCUUCAGCUUCUGCAAAAGUCUGAAUUGAUCUUGCUUUACACAAGCUACCAGAAUGAUCUUUUAAAAACGUAAAUCAGGGGUCAGUCUUGGUGGCCUAGUGAUUAGUUCGGUGUGCUCUGCUUCAGCGGCCUGGGUUCAGUUCCCGGGUACGGACCUACACCGCUCAUCUGUCAGUGACCAUGCUGUGGUGGUGGCUCACAUACAAAAAAAAGAGGAAGAUUGGCAGCAGAUGUUAGGUCAGGGCAAAUCAUCCUCAGCUAAAAAAAAAUUAAAUUAGAUAAAGUCACACCCUCUACUUAAGUUCUGUAUUAGCAGUUAGCAGGGGUAUGUCACAAUCAUUUUAAGCAGCUUUGGAAAAUGUUCUUCAAGUACCAAGCUUAGUGAUGUCUCCUUUUUUAAAAAAAACUAAAUUUAUCUCAUUUAUCUCCAAUUCUUUACUCUCAAUGACUUGCAUUCUUGUUGAAAGGAGAGAAAGCAAUCCUUCCAGGAGGGGCAGAGUUAGAGGAGUGUGAUAGAAAUUGAAUGUACUCCGUGGUAUAAUGUCUCUAUACCAUGGGCACCAACUGCGACUGCUGUACAGAUUAAAUUUGGUGGCAAUUGUUUAUUGCAAUGAGUUAUUUCAUCUUGGUAUUUCUUGAGUUUUGUCAAAAUCUGAUUAUACUUCAUGAGUUGUAGAAGAAGAGCAGAUUACCCUCCUUACAAAUGGUUCUCAAGAGGGAGCAGUCUUCCAGCCCUGGGGGUGUUUGGAGCGGGUACGGGAGUUGGGAUAACGUUUAUUCUCAUAAUUACUGUGAGUAUUACAGUCAUUGAGUGGUCUGCUGCCCAGGACGGUAAAUAUCCUGCAAUGCACGCAACAGGGCCUCACAUAAAGGAUUGUCCCACCCCAAAUGUCCUCCUUACAAAACACUGUUGGUCCUCAAAGGACACACUUUAGCCUUGCACGUGGUUCCCUUCAAACUUAGGCCCUGGUAGGUUUUCAGCCUAACUCACUUACCCUCUGCUUCUGCUCCCUGCUCUUCUCCAACAUGUGAUAAUUCGUGCACAAGAACAUUUGUGUGUGUUUCCUCUAUCUAGAAUGCUGUUCUAUCCUUGACUGGUUAAUAAAUUCUUCCUUCUUAGCAUCUGUUCCCCUACAAACCCAUCUCUGACCCUCUCCACUCUAAGAGAGUUGUUUUUUUUCCCGUCGCGCCCUGCAUGCCUUUGGUAGUCACUGGGGACGCUCCUUAAUCUCUUAUUUCUCCUUCGCUGAGAACGUGGUACGAUUAUAUUUCUCUGCCUCUCCUCACACUUCAGCACAGUCAAAUGACUUGCUUUGGCCAAUGAAACGUGAGCAGAAUUGACAUGCGUAACUUCCAGGCGCAAGCUUUCAGAGGCAGUCACCAUCUGCCAUUUUCUCCUUCUUUCUGCUAUGGCAACCAGAAGUAAGCCAGAUCAUGGCUGCCCUGACCCUAGAUCCUGGAGUGAGGAUGACAAGAAGCAGAGCUCCUGCCUAUCACAGUCGACACGUGACAUGAACAAGAAGGAAGCUGUGGUAUUUGAAGCCACUGAAGUGUUUAGGUUGCUUGUUCCCACAGCAUAACCAUGCUCUUCCUGACUGACACCUCUCUGUUGUAGCAUUUAUCACAUGGUGGUGUUCUUGUUGGUUUUACCCAGCUGAAUCUCCACAGUAGACAGUGGGCUUCUUUCCAGUAGAGACUAUGUUGUUUUUGCUCCUUCGUUGCCAAAACUUUGCUAAAUAACAAGCCCUAUUAGUUAUGUUUUACUGUGUAACAAAUUACCCCAACACUUAGUGGCUUAGAACAACAGUACCCAUUUACUAUCCUCACGGUUUCUGAGGGUCAGGGAUUCAGGAGCAGCUUGGUGGGCAGUUCCGGCUCAGAUUCACUCGUGAGGCUGCAGUCAAGAUGUCAGCUGGGGCUCCAGUCAUGGGGCUUGACUGAGUCUGCAGGAUGCACUCCCGUGGCUGGCAAGUCAGUGCCAGUUGUUGUGAGAUGCCUCAGCUCUUUCCCACAGGGGCCUCCCCACAGGCUGUUGGAAUGUUCUCCCUACAUAGCAGCUGGCUUCUCACAGAGCAAGAGAGGAAGACAGUGUCCUUUAUGACCUAGCCUCAGAAGUCACACGCUGUCACUUCUGCCACAUUCUGUUUGUUAGAAGUGAUUCACUAAGUUCGGUCCACAUUCAAGAGAAGGAGAAUGAGGUCCCACCUUUUAGGGAGGAGUGUUGCUAUAGUCUGGAUGUCUUUGCCCCGCACAAUUUUAUAUCUUGAAAUCCUAACACGCGAAGACGGUGAUGGUGUUAGGAGGUGCCUAGGUCAUGAGGGUGGAGCCCUCAUGAAUGGGAUUAGUGCUUUUAUAAAGGAGACCCCACAGAGCUCCCCGCCCCUUCCAAUGUGCAAGGACACGGUGAGAAGGCGUCAUCUGUGAACCAGGGAGCAGGCCCUCAUCAGAAUGUGACCACGCAGCACCUUGAUCUUGGGCUGCCAGCCUCCAGAAUGUGACAAAUAAAUUUUGUUGUUUAUAAGCACACGGUCUUUGGAGUUUUCUUACUGCAGCCCAGAUGGACUAAGACCAGUAUCAAAAAAAAUCUGCGGCCCUGUUUUGAAACCGCCACACAGGCAUCUAGUGGGUCCUUGGUAGGUCCUUCCUGAAGGAAGGAUCAGGUUUUUUCACUCAGUGGUGG